UUGACCGUGCAGCCAUGGAACCAAGUCAUUGAUCGUCGACUCCAUCAGCUUCCACACCUCGGGUGGAUAAUUUCCAUUAAUCCAAUAAUCA
rnacentral:tRNA from 1 species